rnacentral:lncRNA from 1 species
CCUGGCCUCACGCAUGCCAGACAAUUGCUCUACCACUAAGUCACAUCCCAGCUCUACACAGGAUUCUUAUUUAUUUUUGGUACCAGGGAUUGAACCCAGGGGCUCUUAACCACUGAGCCACAUCCUCAGCCCUAUUUUGUAUUUUAUUUAGAGACAGGGUCUCACUGAGUUGCUUAGGGCCUCACUUUUGCUGAGGCUGGCUUUGAACUUACGAUCUUCCUGCCUCAGCCUCUGGAGCCACUGGGAUUACAGGCCUGCACCAUUGUGCCUGGCCCAUACUUUCUUAACUAAGAUCAAUUGUAUAUUAUUCCUAGUAGAAUCAGGCCCCAAGCAAUUUUUAUUCCAUGCAGAAUCUCGAAUAUUCUAUAAACCUGGAAUAUUACACCAGUAAGAUGGGAAAGAUUAGGUUCUCUCUUUCAAUGUCACUGGAACAAUCUGCCAUGAGUCUGCCUUUCCUGCCUCUCACACAAGUCUUGACACUGUGAUUUAUGUUCCUGAACAAAUUAGACUUAAUUUAAGAGCAAAUCAUCAGCAACAGGUAUAAUAAUCUUGGCAGAACAUUUAUUUUAAUUAAUUGCUUUCUGCCUAACAUAGAUAGAGGGAUGCUGAUACCAUUUACCCUAUAAGGAUUAGUGCUGUCAUGUAAUUAAUUUUUUUUCUUCCCCUAGAACUUAAAGUCUCAUCAGUUUUAAAUUACAAAGGCAUCGGUUUACUUCAUAUUUAAUCAUAACAAUCUAACUUCUAUGGCAAUGUUUAUAUAAGAUACUUGUGAAAGAAAAAUGGAUUCUAACUACCCUGCAGCAUGACUAAUCCCUGUUUCUGUACACAGUCCCUGUUGGGUUCCAGAAAAACUUUCAUUCCCAUAAACCCGAUACAGGGUUAGGGGUGGAGAACACUUGAUUGAUUUUUAGAACAAUGUAGACUUUUCUAUUAUUUAUAUUUUAAUGAGAGGCAAAAAGAAAAAGUUCCCUCCACUGUAGAGUUUUAGCAAGUCAUUCUCUAAAGCAGCCCACAAUAAAUGAUAGGAAAUAACUAAAUAGGCCCAUUUUGUCAAACUUGCCAAACUCAACGUUAUUUAGACAUGAUCUAGUAUUUCCACAGAAGAGACAGAAAUAGCCAGUACUAACACAAGGAGAGUUCACAGGGGAAGGACUGCAACACUCACAAAAUAAGUUGGCUACAUAAAUGUAAAUUUAGCCAGGAACAGUGGCACACACCUGUAAUCCCUGCGGCUCUGGAGGCUGAGGCAGGAGAAGCGCAAGC